rnacentral:rRNA from 5 species
GGUCAAGUGAAGAAGCGCAUACGGUGGAUGCCUUGGCAGUCAGAGGCGAUGAAAGACGUGGUAGCCUGCGAUAAGCUUCGGGGAGUCGGCAAACAGACUUUGAUCCGGAGAUCUCUGAAUGGGGGAACCCACUCAGCAUAAGCUGAGUAUCUUGUACUGAAUACAUAGGUGCAAGAGGCGAACCAGGGGAACUGAAACAUCUAAGUACCCUGAGGAAAAGAAAUCAACCGAGAUUCCCUUAGUAGUGGCGAGCGAACGGGGACUAGCCCUUAAGUGGCUUUGAGAUUAGCGGAACGCUCUGGAAAGUGCGGCCAUAGUGGGUGAUAGCCCUGUACGCGAAAAUCUCUUAGUCAUGAAAUCGAGUAGGACGGAGCACGAGAAACUUUGUCUGAAUAUGGGGGGACCAUCCUCCAAGGCUAAAUACUACUGACUGACCGAUAGUGAACCAGUACCGUGAGGGAAAGGCGAAAAGAACCCCGGAGAGGGGAGUGAAAUAGAUCCUGAAACCGUAUGCGUACAAGCAGUGGGAGCCUACUUUGUUAGGUGACUGCGUACCUUUUGUAUAAUGGGUCAGCGACUUAUAUUCAGUGGCGAGCUUAACCGAAUAGGGGAGGCGUAGCGAAAGCGAGUCUUAAUAGGGCGUUUAGUCGCUGGGUAUAGACCCGAAACCGGGCGAUCUAUCCAUGGGCAGGUUGAAGGUUAGGUAACACUGACUGGAGGACCGAACCGACUACCGUUGAAAAGUUAGCGGAUGACCUGUGGAUCGGAGUGAAAGGCUAAUCAAGCUCGGAGAUAGCUGGUUCUCCUCGAAAGCUAUUUAGGUAGCGCCUCAUGUAUCACUGUAGGGGGUAGAGCACUGUUUCGGCUAGGGGGUCAUCCCGACUUACCAAACCGAUGCAAACUCCGAAUACCUACAAGUGCCGAGCAUGGGAGACACACGGCGGGUGCUAACGUCCGUCGUGAAAAGGGAAACAACCCAGACCGUCAGCUAAGGUCCCAAAGUUAUGGUUAAGUGGGAAACGAUGUGGGAAGGCUUAGACAGCUAGGAGGUUGGCUUAGAAGCAGCCACCCUUUAAAGAAAGCGUAAUAGCUCACUAGUCGAGUCGGCCUGCGCGGAAGAUGUAACGGGGCUCAAACCAUACACCGAAGCUACGGGUAUCACUUAGGUGAUGCGGUAGAGGAGCGUUCUGUAAGCCUGUGAAGGUGAGUUGAGAAGCUUGCUGGAGGUAUCAGAAGUGCGAAUGCUGACAUGAGUAACGACAAUGGGAGUGAAAAACUCCCACGCCGAAAGACCAAGGUUUCCUGCGCAACGUUAAUCGACGCAGGGUUAGUCGGUCCCUAAGGCGAGGCUGAAAAGCGUAGUCGAUGGAAAACAGGUUAAUAUUCCUGUACUUCUGGUUAUUGCGAUGGAGGGACGGAGAAGGCUAGGCCAGCUUGGCGUUGGUUGUCCAAGUUUAAGGUGGUAGGCUGAGAUCUUAGGUAAAUCCGGGAUCUUAAGGCCGAGAGCUGAUGACGAGUUGCCAUUAGGCGACGAAGUGGUUGAUGCCAUGCUUCCAAGAAAAGCUUCUAAGCUUCAGAUAACCAGGAACCGUACCCCAAACCGACACAGGUGGUUGGGUAGAGAAUACCAAGGCGCUUGAGAGAACUCGGGUGAAGGAACUAGGCAAAAUGGCACCGUAACUUCGGGAGAAGGUGCGCCGGUGAGGGUGAAGGACUUGCUCCGUAAGCCCAUGCCGGUCGAAGAUACCAGGCCGCUGCGACUGUUUAUUAAAAACACAGCACUCUGCAAACACGAAAGUGGACGUAUAGGGUGUGACGCCUGCCCGGUGCCGGAAGGUUAAUUGAUGGGGUUAGCUAACGCGAAGCUCUUGAUCGAAGCCCCGGUAAACGGCGGCCGUAACUAUAACGGUCCUAAGGUAGCGAAAUUCCUUGUCGGGUAAGUUCCGACCUGCACGAAUGGCGUAACGAUGGCGGCGCUGUCUCCACCCGAGACUCAGUGAAAUUGAAAUCGCUGUGAAGAUGCAGUGUAUCCGCGGCUAGACGGAAAGACCCCGUGAACCUUUACUAUAGCUUUGCACUGGACUUUGAAUUUGCUUGUGUAGGAUAGGUGGGAGGCUUUGAAGCGUGGACGCCAGUUCGCGUGGAGCCAUCCUUGAAAUACCACCCUGGCAACUUUGAGGUUCUAACUCAGGUCCGUUAUCCGGAUCGAGGACAGUGUAUGGUGGGUAGUUUGACUGGGGCGGUCUCCUCCUAAAGAGUAACGGAGGAGUACGAAGGUGCGCUCAGACCGGUCGGAAAUCGGUCGUAGAGUAUAAAGGCAAAAGCGCGCUUGACUGCGAGACAGACACGUCGAGCAGGUACGAAAGUAGGUCUUAGUGAUCCGGUGGUUCUGUAUGGAAGGGCCAUCGCUCAACGGAUAAAAGGUACUCCGGGGAUAACAGGCUGAUACCGCCCAAGAGUUCAUAUCGACGGCGGUGUUUGGCACCUCGAUGUCGGCUCAUCACAUCCUGGGGCUGAAGCCGGUCCCAAGGGUAUGGCUGUUCGCCAUUUAAAGUGGUACGCGAGCUGGGUUUAGAACGUCGUGAGACAGUUCGGUCCCUAUCUGCCGUGGACGUUUGAGAUUUGAGAGGGGCUGCUCCUAGUACGAGAGGACCGGAGUGGACGAACCUCUGGUGUUCCGGUUGUCACGCCAGUGGCAUUGCCGGGUAGCUAUGUUCGGAAGAGAUAACCGCUGAAAGCAUCUAAGCGGGAAACUUGCCUCAAGAUGAGAUCUCACUGGAGCCUUGAGCUCCCUGAAGGGCCGUCGAAGACUACGACGUUGAUAGGUUGGGUGUGUAAGCGCUGUGAGGCGUUGAGCUAACCAAUACUAAUUGCCCGUGAGGCUUGACCAU